UUUUCCCUUAGGGCAUGCGGAGGG
rnacentral:rRNA from 1 species